UAGUCUUUUUUCUUUUUCUCAUAUUUAGAUAAUAACCUUUUGGAAAAAAUACUUGCUCUAGUUUAGUAUUUUUCAUGCUGUGCCUCCAGCUUUAUGUUAUGGUUUAAUAGUAUCCCUUUGGCUUGGGGUUGGGAAGAUUUAGAAAUAAGAGUAUAUUAGAUAUGUAAUAAGCUUGAAAAGACAUCUUGUGGAAAUAGAUCCUUGGGAAAACACUUAGAUGGAAACAACAUUUAGAACUCUGUGAAAUGGAAUUUACUGAAAACUUAGAGGUGCUACUGUUUUCCUAAGCACUCUACUUGUGACAGUUAAGUGUAGAUUGAGCCCAGGGCUCAGCACAUUAGAGACUUAAGGAAGAAAUCAUUUCUUCAAUUUUUCCUCUGCAGUGGUGGUGACCGCGGUGGCUUCAAAAAUUUUGGUGGUCACAGGGAUUAUGGACCCAGAACAGAUGCUGAUUCAGAAUCUGAUAAUUCAGAUAACAACACAAUCUUUGUGCAAGGACUUGGGGAGGGUGUGUCUACAGAUCAAGUUGGGGAGUUCUUUAAACAAAUAGGAAUUAUCAAGACAAAUAAGAAGACCGGAAAACCAAUGAUAAAUCUUUAUACAGACAAGGACACAGGAAAGCCAAAGGGGGAGGCAACAGUGUCAUUUGAUGACCCUCCUUCAGCUAAGGCAGCCAUUGACUGGUUUGAUGGAAAAGAAUUC
rnacentral:sRNA from 1 species